UCCUCCUCAAGCUGCUCCCA
rnacentral:misc_RNA from 1 species